UGCCCAAUCCCACUAUCACAAGAGACUCUUCUUCAUCUUCAUCAUCUAGUUGUUCAGUGUUGUGUUCAGUGUUGAAUGUGAGUGCUGUGAGUCUCUCCUGGUAUAAAGAAAACAGUUUAUUGUCCAGCAUCAGUGUGUCUGAUCUCAGCGUCAGUCUUUCUCUACAUCUGGAGGUUGAACAUCAGGAUAAAAACACCUAUAGUUGUGUGCUGAACAAUUCCUUCACUAACCGAACUGAACAUCUGAACAUCACUCAACUAUGUCAAGACUCCAUUCUCUGUUGUGGUUUUACUGAUGUUGUAAUUCGAUCGGUCAUCUCUGCUGUGGUGGGCGUGGCUACUGUUUCCAUAGUGGUUUAUGACAUCAUAUCCAGAAGAGCUGAAGAGAAAAAGAGAAGAACAUCACAAUCAGUCAUUGAAUGACGAACCAUAAAAUCAUGGCACUUUUGAGUCCACAGAAGUCAUGAAAAAACAAUCGGUAUUAAAAAGUGUGCAUAGUCAACCAUGUAGUGUGUCAUACUAGUCAACAUUCGAAGUGAAUCAAAAAUGUUUUUCAAAAUUGUCUUAGAACAAGAAUGUGUGCUGUUCAAUAAAACAACUUUGAUGAAGGUGAUGAUCCACUGA